rnacentral:rRNA from 1 species
GAUCAUGGCUCAGAUUGAACGCUGGCGGCAGGCCUAACGCAUGCAGGUCGAGCGGAUGAAGAGAGCUUGCUCUCUGAUUCAGCGGCGGACGGGUGAGUAAUGCCUAGGAAUCUGCCUGAUAGUGGGGGACAACGUUUCGAAAGGAACGCUAAUACCGCAUACGUCCUACGGGAGAAAGCAGGGGACCUUCGGGCCUUGCGCUAUCAGAUGAGCCUAGGUCGGAUUAGCUAG